AUGUACCAAGCCAAACCACUACUUGCAUACCGGAGAAACUUACAUGAUGUUGCUAAGAAGUAUGAUUACAUCAUUGUUAUCGCUCUAUUUAUGCCAUCACUUCAUGGUUUUUGGACUAUACACUUCAUGUUAGCCUCUUCAGAGCAUUGCCAUCACUUCAUGCAGGGCCCAGUGGUGCUAGAGGAGGCGUCGUUCUACUACAAAGCUCCGGUCAACAAGAACUUCUCCAAGAAAGUAUGUUUCAUGAGCUAUCAGAGAAGAAGGCCUAACCUCGCCAAACUUUGCUACACUUCACAUCAUGAGGGAACAAAGAUGCGUCCAUCGCAACACUCAAGCAAAUCAGAUGACAAGGAGAGGAAGGAGGUACGUUUCCCCCCUGUUCUUCUUGAAGGUGGUUCUCCACCUACCAUGCUGUCCAAAGAUGAGCCUUCUCUGGUGGUGAGACACAUCUCUGAGAUGAUUGACCUUAACGAAUUGCCAGAUGACCUUAAUUAUGACUUGCCACCAAAUAUUGGAGUGGACAAUGUUGAACCCAUGUACUGCACACAACCUUCUGCGCAAAGGGCCCCGCCACUGAAGAAUGUCAAUGAAUUUGUGGCUGAAUCUCCAAACACUCCUAUUGCGCAGAAUGUUGCCGACUCUGGAAUGCAAGAAAUGCUCACAGAAGAGCACACACUUGAUGACACAGACAGUUUGGGAGCAACAGGGGGGACUGCUACGCGCGAGGGUGCAGGGGGAGAUGCUAAUAAUGAUGAUGAAGCAUGGUCUCAGCCAAAGGAGCCUUCAUUGGGUACAAGGUUUGACACUUUGCUAGGUGCAAGAGAACAAUAUAAUGCUUAUGCUCAUCAUUUGGGUUUUCCAAUCAAGAUGAAUACUUCCAUAAGGUCUACUAUUACUGGCGAAAUAGAUAAGUACCAGUUUGUUUGCAACAAGUUUCGGAAACCCAAGAAAGAUGACCACGGUACUGUGACUACACCUAACGUUGAAAUGCUAGAAGAUCCUUGUGAAGAUGGGAAUGAUGAGGAGGAGGAAGACAAUGCCAUUGUGUUUGCUGAUGAUGCUAUUGAGAAAAAGAAGAAAGGGAAGAAAAGGAAAAGAGAAAAGAUAAUACAGGCUGGCUGCAAAGCCAAGAUGAUAGUAAAAUUCAUUGAUGGUCGUUGGGAAGUCACUUAUUUCAUUGCUGAGCAUAACCAUCCAUUGAUUGACAAACCUUCCUUGACUAAAUAUUUACGAUCACCCCAAGGCAUCCCCCCAGAAGUGAAGUUGUUUCUAAAGAACCUUCAUAACUGCAACUUAACUAUAGGUGAAUGA
rnacentral:rRNA from 1 species